rnacentral:rRNA from 1 species
GAUUAACGCUAGCGGCAGGCCUAAUACAUGCAAGUUGAACGGGAUUAGUUGUAGCAAUACGAUUAUGAGAGUAGCGCACGGGUGCGUAACACGUAUGCAACCUACCUAUAACUGGGGGAUAGCCUCCCGAAAGGGAGAUUAAUACCGCAUAACACUAUGAAGUGGCAUCACUUUAUAUUUAAAUCUACGGAGGUUAUAGAUGGGCAUGCGUCCGAUUAGCUAGUUGGUGAGGUAACGGCUCACCAAGGCUCCGAUCGGUAGGGGGUCUGAGAGGAUGAUCCCCCACACUGGUACUGAGACACGGACCAGACUCCCACGGGAGGCAGCAGUAAGGAAUAUUGGACAAUGGGCGCAAGCCUGAUCCAGCCAUGCCGCGUGAAGGAUGAAGGCCCUAUGGGUCGUAAACUUCUUUUAUACGGGACAAAACCCCUCCUCGUGAGGAGGGUUGAUGGUACUGUAAGAAUAAGGGUCGGCUAACUUCGUGCCAGCCGCCGCGGUAAGAC